GACGAACGCUGGCGGCGUGCUUAACACAUGCAAGUCGAACGGAAAGGCCCUGCUUUUGUGGGGUGCUCGAGUGGCGAACGGGUGAGUAACACGUGAGUAACCUGCCCUUGACUUUGGGAUAACUUCAGGAAACUGGGGCUAAUACCGGAUAGGAGCUCCUGCUGCAUGGUGGGGGUUGGAAAGUUUCGGCGGUUGGGGAUGGACUCGCGGCUUAUCAGCUUGUUGGUGGGGUAGUGGCUUACCAAGGCUUUGACGGGUAGCCGGCCUGAGAGGGUGACCGGCAACAUUGGAACUGGGAUACGGCCAGGACUCCAACGGGAGGAAGAGGUGGGGAAAAUUGCACAAUGGGCGGAAGCCUAAGGCAGAAAGGCGGGGGGCGGGAUGACGGCUUCGGGUUGUAAACCGCUUUCGCCUGUGACGAAGCGUGAGUGACGGUAAUGGGUAAAGAAGCACCGGCUAACUACGUG
rnacentral:rRNA from 1 species